GUGUCAGCAGCCGCGGUAAUACAGAGGUCCCAAGCGUUGUUCGGAUUCACUGGGCGUAAAGGGUGCGUAGGUGGUGGGGAAAGUUCGAUGUGAAAGCUCCGAGCUUAACUCGGAAAUGGCAUUGAAAACUACCUUGCUCGAGGGUUGGAGGGGGGACUGGAAUUCUCGGUGUAGCAGUGAAAUGCGUAGAUAUCGAGAGGAACACCAGUGGCGAAGGCGAGUCCCUGGACAACUCCUGACACUGAGGCACGAAAGCUAGGGGAGCAAACAGGAUUAGAUACCCUCGUAGUCC
rnacentral:rRNA from 1 species